GACGAACGCUGGCGGCGUGCUUAACACAUGCAAGUCGAACGGAAAGGCCCUGCUUUUGUGGGUUGCUCGAUUGGCGAACGGGUGAGUAACACGUGAGUAACCUCCCCUUAACUUUGUGAUAACUUCAGGAAACUGGGGCUAAUACCGGAUAUGAUCUCCUGCUGCAUGGUGGGGGUUGGAAAGUGUCGGCGGUGGGGGAUGGACUCGCGGCUUAUGAGCUUGUUGGUGUGGUAGUUGAGUACCAAGGCUUUGACGGGUAGCCGGCCUGGGAGGGUUACCGGCCCCAUUAGGACUGAGAGACGGCGCAGAAGCCUACGGGAGGCAGCAGUGGGGAAUAUUGCGGAAUGGGCGGACGCCUGAUGCAGCAACGCCGCGUGCGGGAUGACGGCCUUCGGGUUGUAAACAGCUUUCGCAGGAGACGAAGAGUGAGUGACGGUAAUGGGUAAAGAAGCAACGGCUAACUACGUG
rnacentral:rRNA from 1 species